GUGAGUCAUCGAAUCUUUGAACGCAUCUUGCGCCCCUUGGUUACUCCGAAGGGCAUGCCUGUUUGAGAGUCAUUAUUAAUCUCAACUUUGGAGUUUGCUUGUCAGACUCUGAAGCUUGGAUGUGGGGGGGACUUUGUGCUGGCAUUUACGUGCUGGCUCCUCUGAAAUGUAUUAGCCGAAUCUUGAUGUCCUUUUGGCUCUGGUUUGAUAAAUGAUAUCUAUGCCAUUGCUGAGGGAAAUGGUUUCUGCUUAUAAAUCCCGAGUCUAUUUUGAAACUUGACCUCAAAUCAGGUAGGACUACCCGCUGAACUUAAGCAUAUCAAUAAGCGGAGGA
rnacentral:misc_RNA from 1 species